CCUACGGGUGGCUGCAGUAGGGAAUAUUGCACAAUGGGGGAAACCCUGAUGCAGCAACGCCGCGUGAGCGAUGAAGGCCUUCGGGUCGUAAAGCUCUGUCCUAAGGGAAGAAUACUGACGGUACCUUAGGAGGAAGCCCCGGCUAACUACGUGCCAGCAGCCGCGGUAAUACGUAGGGGGCUAGCGGUAUCCGGAAUUACUGGGCGUACAGGGUGCGGAGGCUGGCCUUCAAGUCAGAGGUGAAAGGCUACGGGUCAACCGUAGUAAGCCUUUGAAACUGUAGGGCUUGAGUGCAGGAGAGGAGAGGGGAAUUCCGAGUGUAGCGGUGAAAUGCGGAGAUAUUGGGAGGAACGACAGUUGCGAAGGCGGCUCUCUGGACUGUAACUGACGAUGAGGCACGAAAGCGUGGGGAGCGAACAGGAUUAGAUACCCCUGUAGUC
rnacentral:rRNA from 1 species